rnacentral:rRNA from 1 species
AGUGGGAAGAGCCCAAACCGGAUUUAUCCGGGGUUGUAGGACCUUCAUAAUUGACAAAUCAUGAUAGCCGAAUGGUCUGGGAAGGCCAACCGUAGGGGGUGAGAGUCCCGUAGGUGAAAUUGUGAGAUGCAUGGAAGGAAUCCUGAGUACGGCGGGACACGUGGAAUCCCGUCGGAAUCAACGAGGACCAUCUCGUAAGGCUAAAUACUACCUAGUGACCGAUAGUGAACCAGUACCGUGAGGGAAAGGUGAAAAGCACCCCGGGAGGGGAGUGAAAUAGAACCUGAAACCGUGUGCCUACAACAAGUUCGAGCCCGUUAAUGGGUGAGAGCGUGCCUUUUGUAGAAUGAACCGGCGAGUUACGAUAUGAUGCGAGGUUAAGUUGAAGAGACGGAGCCGUAGGGAAACCGAGUCUUAAUAGUGCGUAUUAGUAUCAUGUCGUAGACCCGAAACCAUGUGACCUACCCAUGAGCAGGUUGAAGGUGAGGUAAAACUCACUGGAGGACCGAACCAGGGCACGUUGAAAAGUGCUUGGAUGACUUGUGGGUAGCGGAGAAAUUCCAAACGAACUUGGAGAUAGCUGGUUCUCUCCGAAAUAGCUUUAGGGCUAGCGUCGAUGUUAAGUCUCUUGGAGGUAGAGCACUGUUUGGGUGAGGGGUCCAUCCCGGAUUACCAAUCUCAGAUAAACUCCGAAUGCCAACGAGAUAUAAUCGGCAGUCAGACUGCGAGUGCUAAGAUCCGUAGUCGAAAGGGAAACAGCCCAGACCACCAGCUAAGGUCCCAAAAUAUAUGUUAAGUGGAAAAGGAUGUGGGGUUGCACAGACAACUAGGAUGUUAGCUUGGAAGCAGCUAUUCAUUCAAAGAGUGCGUAAUAGCUCACUAGUCGAGUGACCCUGCGCCGAAAAUGUACCGGGGCUAAAACAUAUUACCGAAGCUGUGGAUACCUUUAUAGGUAUGGUAGGAGAGCGUUCUAUGUGCGAAGAAGGUGUACCGUGAGGAGUGCUGGAGCGCAUAGAAGUGAGAAUGCCGGUAUGAGUAGCGAAAGACAGGUGAGAAUCCUGUCCACCGUAAGACUAAGGUUUCCAGGGGAAGGCUCGUCCGCCCUGGGUUAGUCGGGACCUAAGGAGAGACCGAAAGGUGUAUCCGAUGGACAACAGGUUGAUAUUCCUGUACUAGAGUAUAUAGUGAUGGAGGGACGCAGUAGGCUAACUAAACCAGACGAUUGGAAGUGUCUGGCCAAGCAGUGAGGUGUGAUAUGAGUCAAAUGCUUAUAUCUAUAACAUUGAGCUGUGAUGGGGAGCGAAGUUUAGUAGCGAAGUUAGUGAUGUCACACUGCCGAGAAAAGCUUCUAGCGUUAAUUAUACUCUACCCGUACCGCAAACCGACACAGGUAGUCGAGGCGAGUAGCCUCAGGUGAGCGAGAGAACUCUCGUUAAGGAACUCGGCAAAAUGGCCCCGUAACUUCGGGAGAAGGGGCGCUGACUUAUGGUCAGCCGCAGUGAAUAGGCCCAAGCAACUGUUUAUCAAAAACACAGCUCUCUGCUAAAUCGUAAGAUGAUGUAUAGGGGGUGACGCCUGCCCGGUGCUGGAAGGUUAAGAGGAGUGCUUAGCAAUAGCGAAGGUAUGAAUUGAAGCCCCAGUAAACGGCGGCCGUAACUAUAACGGUCCUAAGGUAGCGAAAUUCCUUGUCGGGUAAGUUCC